UACAGAGGUCCCAAGCGUUGUCCGGAAUCAUUGGGCGUAAAGCGCGUGUAGGCGGCCAGAAAAGUCCGCUGUGAAAACUCGAGGCUCAACUUCGAGCUGUCGGUGGAAACUUUCUGGCUAGAGUCCGGAAGAGGAGAAUGGAAUUCCUGGUGUAGCGGUGAAAUGCGCAGAUAUCAGGAAGAACACCGGUGGCGAAGGCGGAUCUCUGGGCCAUUACUGACGCUGAGGAGCGAAAGCGUGGGGAGCGAACAGG
rnacentral:rRNA from 1 species